GGUCUUGUGGUCUAGUGGUAUGAUUCUCGCUUAGGGUCACCUAAGUUUCAAUUUCAUUCAUUUGAAAUGCGAGAGGCCCCGCGUUCGAGUCGCGGCAAGACCC